rnacentral:lncRNA from 1 species
UUUGGGAUUAAACUGUUAUUUUGCAAGGUUUUCUUGAUUAACUACCAACCCGGGUCCAUCUCAAUUUAACUAACACUCAAAUUUUUUGGGGAGCAAAAAUGUCCUGAAAAAAAAACUGUUAAAAUGUCUAACAUGUCUAUCAGAUUUUUUAUGGCCUAACUCUUUACCAUAAUUUGAAAACAUCUCUGAUUUAGAUUAAGUAGGCUAUUUUAGUUGGCUAUACCUUGCCUUUUACAUUGUUCUCUCCUGUCGCAUUUCCCUCUCAAGCAAUUACAAAAUACAUCAGGUUAAAGAAAAAUCUGCAUAUUAUACUCUUGUAUAUUGUCUAACAUAAAGCCGAGUUUCAAAAUGUUAACUAUAGAAUGACCAACUCCUGCUGUCCCCUGGCAUCAUAAAGUGUCAAAAACCUGAUCAUAAGUGUUGCCUUAGCACACUUUCAGUUGGCAAUUUUGUUCAAGUUUUCAUCGAUAAAGUAAAGGAGAAAAAAAACACCACCUUUUAGACAAAACAAUGUAGACUAUGAAUGUUUAGGUCACUGAUGAGAAUUCAGCAAAGUGACAGGAAAACCCCAAACAUGACAAACAUUUACAUGGCCUAUUUAUUUUCUUAGUUUAAAUUGUGUCAUCAACCCAAAUUUUGGGUUGAAUCAAUAACCCAUUUUAAGGGUGUCAUGAUAUGUUCUGUUAACUUAGAUUUUUCUUGGUUUUGUUAUUCAAGUGCAUUUUCUGUGUGUUUUUCCUAGUGUUUCUGUUCCCUGUUGUUCCUGUUAUCCUGUCUCAUCAGUUUUCAGUUUGUGUUUGACCCUGUUUCCCUCAUGUUCUUCGUGUUUUAUUCUUUUGACCAGUUUUCAGUGUUUCCUGUUUUAUUUUGUAGUAGUCCAUCCUUGUGUGCCUUUUGUUUUACGUUCUCAGUUUUUUCCUCCUUAGUAAUUGUCUGUACUUGUGUCUCAGUGUCUCACCUGCCUCUUGUUGCUCAUUUCCCUGUGUGUUUAACGGCUGUGUCUCAAUUCAGGGUCUGCAUACAGCUGAGUGCACUCCUCUGAGCGCACUGCCCUUCUGUGCACUCGAGUACCCUGGGUAGGUGGAUCAACUUUUGUGAAUUGGGACAGUCUACCCUUUGGAGGACUUCCUGAUUGAGUUGCCAAAUGUCCCCACCCUUAGGCUCAGACGUCACGACUGACUUGAAGAAAAGCCCUGGAGCACAGCAGUUGUAUUUUAAUUGUGCGAUCUUGCAUACAUACAAAACAUACACAAAACAAAAGACACAGACAAAAAAACAAUACAUACACACAAGCACACAGGGGUUACUUUAAACAUUAAACAACAAAGUGACAACCAAAAAGAGGAAAGAACUUUACAGAUCAUUUCCACAAAAUUCAAAAAGACUUUUUUUCUGGCAGAAAUUGCAAUUUUAAUGCAGUUGAUGAUUUUCUUCAAAUCAAGCUGCAGUGUGCCAUUCACAAUGUGCAUGGUAACAUUUACAAAUCAAAACAUAAAAACCCAUUACUUUGAUGCAAGAAUGAAAACUAAAGGUAAGAAUUGUGAAUGGGAAGCCAGUCUUCACAUUUAAAGAAAAUUGAGUCAUCCCAAGUCAUCCUGAUCCACAGUGGAGCAGGACGGCGGACGGAUUGUGUGGAAUCACGCACAUUGAUCAUAACGCUUGCGUAUUUGAUCCACCCGCUGUUCUGGAUCCGAGCACAGCCAUUCCGGAUCCUGUGGGUUUUAGCUGUUUUAGCUGUUACAUGUUUGCUAGAUUCUUCAUAGGACUUUUAAGUCAUGCACGCCUCAUGCCUGUGUCUGUGGUGGUUUUUCAAGUGCUGGAAUAAGUUGGUUGUGUUUCCGCUUGAUGUAGCAACUUUAGCACGGUUUUGCACAGAGGCCUACCUGUUUCUGGUGCUACAGCUUCAAAAAUACUCCCAGAUGACUGCUGUGUCUCUCUUUUUGGGGACUAAAUCACCUAAUUCUGCGGUGGUUGCGCUGAAGCUGUUUUAUAAACAUGCUCACAUUUCAAAACAUGGAGAUCAGAUUAAUACUGAUUGGUUAAUGUGACCUGUUCAUGAGCAUAGCAUAUUGGUGCUUUCCAUUUACCUCAGAAGUCCGAGCUGGGAAUGACGUCACACCCGAAUUAUCAGCGUUUCAGUUACAGAGUCGAAAAAAAAAAAGUAGCCAAUGGACAAAAAUCCAAAACAACACCAACAUCAUUGAUCAUCCUCUCAAUCAUCUAUAGAGGAUCAGGUUGCCUAUUGACACAGGCCGUCACCAACACUUGGUCCAUUAAGGCUUGUUAACUGAUUAUUGUUUUAACCGUCGGUUAAAAAAACAUUCAGAAAAUUAUUCAAUUGUGCAUUUGUAAUCCAGAGGUCAUUCACUAAUUCUUAGGCUACUUUUUACAACUCUUCUCCGCAUAAACAGGGGGGAAUUCCUGGUAGAUAGUUCAGAAAACUCUGAGUCUAAUCGUGGGUUUGAGGUUAACUUACCCUGAGACGGGAAACAUUGAGUAUCCGGUUCCAGAACAGCUGAUAUGAAUUAGGUCAAUCAACUGAGUAGGUUCACCUUGGGUUGAGCUGGUGCACAGCCAGUACAAAAAGCCAUCAUCAAUGGAGCACUGAUACUGCGAUGUAACAACGCAACCAUGGCCACUGGUGACAAGAAGAAUCGAGCCGCAUAUUUCAUGCGGAUAGAAUUAGAAAUUUUAUUGACAUCAUACAAUGAGUAUAAAUCUAUUUUUAUCAAAAAGAGCAACACUGCUGCGGCAACUAAAGACAGAGAAGGUGCAUGGAAGAAAAAUACAGAAAGAGUCAAUGUGUGAGUAAAAAUGCUCUGUAGUCCAAUAAUUUAAGAUUUAAUUGCAAAUCAUAGCAUACAAGGUGAAAAAGUGGUUUUGAAUGAUAUUUAUUUUCAUGUAGGUGCAAUCCCACAGGGGUGAAACGCACAGGGAAACUACUAAAAAUAAAAUAUAAAAAUGUAACUCAGCCAACUUACUUGGCAAUAAUUCAGUCAAGAACACUUAGUCAAAAAAUUUAGCUCUGUUGUGCAAAGUUAAAUUUGGCAGCACGAUUCUGUUCCGGGUCUCUGCCCUACCACGUGCUUGCGUGGAAGCCCGAGGCAGGAAGAACCCCUUCCUGCCCAUCAUGAACCAUCAUGAAAGGCAAUAGCAAAGAGCGUACGUGAGGUUCUGUUUGGGGCCCUUUGUUCUCCACGCUGGCAUGGGUGAAAGGCCAGUGGCAGGAAGAACAUCUUCCCGCCCUCCACGCGCCAUCAUGAAGGCAGAGAUGGCGGGGGUAGAGCCUCGAUGAACAGAAGCCCCCUGGAACAGGAGCGCUUCAAGGGUAGCGGAGCGAUUAGCUGGUACGAGGGUGGAGCUGGGGUGGCAGUGGGUUGCUGGUUAGCUGUCGAAGCAGAGGGAGAGGCCGGGUAAGUGCAGUUUUAAAUAAGGUGCUCUAUAGGCAUAGGACCAAUAGGAGCAAGGAGUGAAUCAGCUGACUAUCGUCUGGUUGAGGUGGCUACUAGCCAUUGGCUGCGGAUCAGCGCUUGACGUCGUGUCCUGACAGAACUAAUGCUAUGCUUCAUUUCAGUCAGGAACACUUUGUCAAAAAAAUUUAGCUUUGUUUUGCAAAGUUAAAUUUGGUGGCAUGAUUCUGUUCCAGGUCCGGGUUCUGUUCCGUGUAAUUGCAGCCGUGGGAGGAAAGAAUGGGACGGCGAUGGAGACGAGGACUGCACUUCCCAGGGUCCUUCGUGACAUGGUGACACCGUCGUUGGUUGUCGCUGGAGUGACGUCAUCGUUCAGCGCGGUAAAUGCAGGUGUAAACUGGGAUUAAGGAAGAGGAAGGGAAGAGAAUCCAAAACGGUUGCUCGGAUUUGGUUUUGCAGGCAGGAUCAGCGCUGCUGGUUAAAUCAUAGAGUUAGUAAAACUUAAGUAAGAUUGUUGAGGGAAGGGUGAGUGAAGGAAUAUUGUGUGGGAGUACCGGCCGAUGGCCUGUAAGGUCCAAUAAGACGGUAUUCGUGCCAAUAGCUCUUUCUCCACCUAUGGCAGGAUCACGGGAAGAGAGUGUGUGGAGUAUGGAUGAGAGGGAGGACGAGGAGGAUGGGGGUUGGGAUAUGAGGAAAUUGAAUAAAGGAUUGAAGAGGCGAAUGGUGGAGGACGGACAGCAGAGGGAGGAAAAACGGAAGGUUGUGGUGCGAUUUUAAGGAGAAGGAGGGGUGAGGGGCAUGGAUCCGGCUAAAUUAACAAAGUCUAUUAGGAAGCAGGUUGGUGAGGUGGAGUUUGCAAGAGUGUUGAAUGAUGGUAAUCUGUUGCUUAGCUGUACAUCGAAGAGCAGGUGAUGAGAGCACAGAAAAUGCAAGGUGUUGGGAAAGGAGUGGUCUGUGGCAACAUGAUCCAGGUAUAUUUUUCAAACCCUAAAGUUAAUUACUCAGUAUUAUAAUUACUAUAAUUACAGAAAUAUCCAGAUGGUAUGUUGACAAGCAUAGAUUUAAGGCACUCUGGGGAGUAGCCUAUCAAUAUAGGUCUACUACUAAAAAUAUUAAAAAAAAAAAAACGACAUGAAUUUAUAAUGCAAUUAAGAUUACUUUUUAUACUUGUUUCUUUUAAGAGCAUUUUGUAGCCUAUUCUGCAAUUUAUCCCAUACUAUGAUGUGACAUUUAUAGUACUGCCAUCCAGCUUUUUAAACAGAGACCGGAACCAUCACAACAUUAUCAUGGACAACAUUUAGGCUCAAUCUUUUUAUUGCUGAUCAUCACUGUAAAUCAAACACGUGUCUACCCUAUCAUUAUCUUUGAAAUCGUUAUGUUGUUUUCUGAUUAAUUUGGCUCUGAGACGUGCGUUUAGUUACCUCUUGGCCUCAAAGAUGUAUUCAGUUUUUUUCACCUUAAGAGUCGAACUGAGGUAAUGGAAGCAGAAGUGCACGCGGACCACUGACCUGAGAGUGAGCCCUGAGGGUGAGCAUCACCUGAUCCCUGUAAACCUUUGGGACCCCGCUGACUUCUCCACAGGGGAACUUGAACAGCUCCUUGGUGCACUGCUACGUGUGCGGUGUCUCUCCGCAUAGGUGUCUGUGGA